rnacentral:rRNA from 1 species
UACGGAGGAUGCGAGCGUUAUCCGGAUUUAUUGGGUUUAAAGGGUGCGUAGGCGGACGCUUAAGUCAGCGGUAAAAUUGCGGGGCUCAACCUCGUCGAGCCGUUGAAACUGGGUGCCUUGAGUGGGCGAGAAGUACGCGGAAUACGUGGAGUAGCGGUGAAAUGCAUAGAUAUCACGCAGAACUCCGAUUGCGAAGGCAGCAUACCGGCGCCCUACUGACGCUGAGGCACGAAAGCGUGGGUAUCGAACAGG